GUAAACGGGUCAGGUUCCAGUAAAGCGGGUCAGGCCCCAGUAAAGCAGGUCAGUUCCCAGUAAAGUGGGUCAGGCUCCAGUAAAGUGGGUCAGGCCCCAGUAAAGUGGGUCAGGCCCCAGUAAAGUGGGUCAGGCCCCAGUAAACGGGUCAGGUUCCAGUAAAGCGUGUUAGGCCCCAGUAAACCGGGUCAGGCUCCAGUAAAGUGGGUCAGGCUCCAGUAAAGCGGGUCAGGCCCCAGUAAAGCGGGUCUGGUCCCAGUAAAGCGGGUCAGUUCCCAGUAAAGUGGGUCAGGCUCCAGUAAAGCGGGUCAGGCCCCAGUAAAGUGGGUCAGGCUCCAGUAAAGCGGGUCAGGCCCCAGUAAAGCGGGUCUGGUCCCAGUAAAGCGGGUCAGUUCCCUAUUAUUAUUCAUCUCUGAUCACUGAUUGGAUCUUUAAAUUUCUGCUUUGAUGAUGAUGAUGAAGUUCAAAGACGUUUUAUUCAGGCGAUGGGCCGAUGUCUCACUCGCUGUGUGUUUGGACACCCUGAGCCUGAGUCCAUGGACCGAGGGACACGUAGGAGCGGUAGGACACACUGACUGUUAGACAGGAUGAUGAAGGUGGAUUCUCUCUCUCUGCUGUGGUACCGUCGGACUCUUUUUACCGUCUGUUUGCAGAUCAGAGAUUCUGAACCAGUGUACAUGUUUUGCUCCUGUUUUAAAUCUGUUAAUAAACUGUCAACCUGCUCUUUGAA